rnacentral:pre_miRNA from 1 species
UUUUUCGAAGUGUCGAAAAUUGCACCACAUUUGACAAUCAAUAUUUGACAUUUGACGGUCGAUAAUUUGUCAAAUACUGUCAAAUGUCAAAUAUUGAUUGUCAAAUGUGGUGCAAUCGAUGUAAAACUGAAAA